UCAGAAUAAAGAGGCAUGAAGGAGAGACACUCCAAGGAAAAGGAUAUUGGAGGGAUCUCACUGGUAGAAAGAGAAUGAAAAUAUUACACAGAGUGAAAUAAAACAAUAGAUAUUUUAAAAUCCAUGCUUAAAAUAGGUAUAUUUCAGAGAAUGUUUUGGAGUUGGAAAAUUGAUCCAGUGAUUCAUGUUAGAAAAGCAUUAUAAUAAAAAUGAAAUGAGAGUCUAAAGCAAUCUUGUAGCUAUGGGGAAAAAAUAAAAGGAAAAGGUAAUUUCUCUAUUACGGAUA
rnacentral:lncRNA from 1 species